GAGACUUUUUGGAAAAAAAAGUACUCAUACUUACCUUUUGGGGAAGCACACAAAAUCAGAGUCUACUAAGUGAAAUAAUCUGGAGAUUGAAGCUCAUUCUUGCCCUAGAAAAAUGAAAGGCUUAUAGAUUGCACCUUAUGUUCUGGACGCCUGACCUGUGCCACGGUGGUCAUAUCCUGCCAUCCUCGGAGGUGUGGACAUGCCCAGCUGCCCCUGGCUCACGGGCCUUACUGCCAGCCCUACCACAUGCCCUCAGCUGAACGAUGAGUCCUUGGAGGUCUGUCCUGUCCCGCUCUCUCCCACAUCUGUUCCUUUUUGGUGUUAUGGGAAUAUUCAACUACUCUCCACUGAAGUGGAAAUUCUCAUGAGAUCCCAGGAAAACAUACUUGAAGCUCCAGGAUGUGAUGUGAUGGCUAAAACUUGGGUAGCAACCUUGGACCAUGACCAGGCUUAGAAACUUACAACAGAAAGAAAAGAGCCUGGGUCCCUGAGGAUGCCAAAAUGACUUCUGUACCAGCCUGGACUUGUCAAAUUUCAA